CUGCUGGUUGCUAGAGGGAGGGCUGAUCAUGUGCAUCCCGUGAUCCAUCCCUGUGGAAAGGUAUUGCCUCUCUCCAAAGGCCCCGCUGGAUGGGGAAGAGCAAAGUAAAGUGCUUUGGGAGGUGGAGAGGGAAGCAAGCCUGCCACAGAGUAAUCCAAGGCAGUGGGAAAAGCCGUAAGGAAGCACUGCGCUCAGUCAAGCAAUCUGCCAUCUUUAGGCAUGCUGUACUGCAGCAGGGUGAGCAGAAGGGAACGUCUGCCUCUAGUUUCAUUGCAAAGUCUUUUUUAGUUGAAAUUGCUGAUAAAGGUGAGACUGAACUGAGGUAAAUGACUAUAGGCACACAUUUUCCUGUUAGCCCUGCACUGAAGAGGGUAACUCCAACAGAGAGGGCAGGCAGACAGCUGAGUUCGUAUAUCGCCACUUAGCUGUCAAAGCCCAAAGUAGAGAGGUCACAUAAUCACAAAAGAAAUAAAGCACAAAGUGAGAUGUAUUAAACCCACAGUAAUCCUGCACUUGAUUCUUUACACCACAUAUUUCAUGAACAAACUUCAGAUGGUGACUUACUUGCUGACAGAGCCUGGAGAAUAAGUAAAAAUACAUAUGUAUAUAUAUGAGCAUUUAAUGAUCUGUUUGAAAUAAAAUACAUAGAAUAAAUGA